rnacentral:rRNA from 1 species
GACUACAUGAAGCUGGAAUCGCUAGUAAUCGCGGAUCAGAAUGCCGCGGUGAAUACGUUCCCGGGUCUCGUACACACCGCCCGUCACACCAUGGGAGUCGGAAAUGCCCGAAGUCGGUGACCUAACUGAAAGGAAGGAGCCGCCGAAGGCAGGUCUGGUGACUGGGGUGAAGUCGUAACAAGGUAGC